rnacentral:rRNA from 1 species
CCUACGGGAGGCAGCAGUAGGGAAUCUUCCGCAAUGGACGAAAGUCUGACGGAGCAACGCCGCGUGAACGAUGAAGGCCUUCGGGUCGUAAAGUUCUGUUGUUAGGGAAGAACAAGUGCUAGUUGAAUAAGCUGGCACCUUGACGGUACCUAACCAGAAAGCCACGGCUAACUACGUGCCAGCAGCCGCGGUAAUACGUAGGUGGCAAGCGUUGUCCGGAAUUAUUGGGCGUAAAGCGCGCGCAGGCGGUUUCUAAGUCUGAUGUGAAAGCCCCCGGCUCAACCGGGGAGGGUCAUUGGAAACUGGGAAACUUGAGUGCAGAAGAGGAAAGUGGAAUUCCAAGUGUAGCGGUGAAAUGCGUAGAGAUUUGGAGGAACACCAGUGGCGAAGGCGACUUUCUGGUCUGUAAACUGACGCUGAGGCGCGAAAGCGUGGGGAGCAAACAGGAUUAGAUACCCUGGUAGUCCACGACUGUAAACGAUGAGUGCUAAGUGUUAGAGGGUUUCCGCCUUUAGUGCUGAAGUUAACGCAUUAAGCAUCCGCCUGGGGAGUCGGUGCAAGACGNGAAGUAAGAAGUUAGAGUGUUGAGUGNGCGNGCGACGACGAGAGAGGAG